rnacentral:rRNA from 1 species
UACGUAGGGCGCAAGCGUUGUCCGGAAUUAUUGGGCGUAAAGAGCUCGUAGGCGGCUUGUCACGUCGGGUGUGAAAGCCCGGGGCUUAACCCCGGGUCUGCAUUCGAUACGGGCUAGCUAGAGUGUGGUAGGGGAGAUCGGAAUUCCUGGUGUAGCGGUGAAAUGCGCAGAUAUCAGGAGGAACACCGGUGGCGAAGGCGGCCAUCUGGGCAUUAACUGACGCUGAGACGCGAAAGCGUGGGGAGCAAACAGG